GAUGAACGCUGGCGGCGUGCUUAACACAUGCAAGUCGAACGAAGCACUUUAUUUGAUUUCCUUCGGGACUGAUUAUUUUGUGACUGAGUGGCGGACGGGUGAGUAACGCGUGGGUAACCUGCCUUGUACAGGGGGAUAACAGUUGGAAACGGCUGCUAAUACCGCAUAAGCGCACAGCAUCGCAUGAUGCAGUGUGAAAAACUCCGGUGGUAUAAGAUGGACCCGCGUUGGAUUAGCUAGUUGGUGAGGUAACGGCCCACCAAGGCGACGAUCCAUAGCCGACCUGGGAGGGUGACCGGCCACAUUGGGACUGAGACACGGCCCAAACUCCUACGGGAGGCAGCAGUGGGGAGUAUUGCACAAUGGGCGAAAGCCUGAUGCAGCGACGCCGCGUGAGCGAAGAAGUAUUUCGGUAUGUAAAGCUCUAUCAGAAGGGAAGAUAAUGACGGUACCUGACUAAGAAGCACCGGCUAAAUACGUG
rnacentral:rRNA from 1 species